rnacentral:rRNA from 1 species
CCCCAGGUCAGGCGGGAUUACCCG